rnacentral:rRNA from 1 species
UCCAUGCAGUGGCAACACUACGGAAGACCUAGUGGCGAACGGGUGAGUAACACGUGAGGAACUUGCCCCGGAGACCGGGAUAAGCCCCCGAAAGGGGGUCUAAUACCGGAUGCCCUCCCCGAGCCGCAUGGCUUGGUGAGGAAAUGGAUUCCGCUCCGGGAGAGCCUCGCGGCCUAUCAGCUAGUUGGUGGGGUAACGGCCCACCAAGGCGUCGACGGGUAGCUGGUCUGAGAGGACGGUCAGCCACACUGGGGCUGAGACACGGCCCAGACUCCUACGGGAGGCAGCAGUGGGGAAUCUUGCGCAAUGGGCGAAAGCCUGACGCAGCAACGCCGCGUGCGGGAUGACGGCCCUCGGG